rnacentral:tRNA from 1 species
GGAGCCUUAGCUCAGUCGGUUAGAGCAUCGGACUCAUAAUCCGCCGGUCCAGGGUUCAAGCCCCUGAGGCUCCA